CGGAAGAACUCUGUCUCUGAUUGGCAGGAGAGUCACGAACCGGUCAGCCCCGGGUCAGGGGCCGCAAGUGAGGACACUACAAGUGUCGAGGGGCCUAGGGGAAGCCGGGGCUUGGGAGGGCAGGGCUUUCUCUGCUUGCGGACAUCGCGAAGGGCCUCUGGCAGGCGCCGCCGGGUGGCGGCGAGACGCCUCCGCGCCUCCGGGGUUCCUUGUUCGCUGUCGGAGGAGGACCGGCUGAGGGAUGGCCUGGUGGGGAGGGAGCCCUCGGGCAGGUGGCUGCGUCGGGCCUGGGGCAGUUGUGCUGCGCUUGGAGACCUGCCCGCCCUCGGGGCCUGUGUGCACAGGGAGGAUAGGCUGUUUAUCUCUGCAGGCUCAGGAAGGCAGAGAGUAAAAAAAUCUCACUGAAGAAGAGUAGGCCUUUCGUUUAGCAACUGUGAAGAAAACCAACCACGCUGCACCUCUCAGUUCUGUAGUCAGAAGUCCAACAUGGUUCUCAAUGGCCUAAAAUCAAGGUGUCCACAGGAUUGUGUUCCUUUCUAGAGAGCAAGCUGCAGUGUGGUAAACUGCCUUUGAAAGAGACCCACAUGUCAAGAAACUGAGCAUCACCUGUGACCAACAGCCAGAAAGUAACUGAAGCCCCAAGACGAACAGCUUGUGCAAAACUAAAUUCUGCCUACAACAAGAGCAUGAAUUGAGACGCAGAUCCUUCCCUAGUUGAUCCUUGAAAUGCUUGCAGCUCUAUGGACACCUUGAUUGCAGCCUUGUGAGAAAUUCUGAACUAGAGGACCUCGUAUGCCUUACCCAUAGGUCUUACAAGAUAAUACGUGUUUUUCAAAAAAGUAAGUUUGGGGAUAAUUUC
rnacentral:lncRNA from 1 species